UGUCAUGCUGCUGACAUAUUCCAUGUGUUUGAUAUCUUCCCAGCAAAAUAAUCAGCUCUCAUUUUCCCUUACAGAGUCAACUGUUCAUUUUAUUUCAAAAUUGGAGCAUGUCGUCAUGGAGACAGGUGCUCUCGGUUGCACAAUAAACCGACGUUUAGCCAGACCAUCUUGAUUCAAAACAUCUAUCGUAAUCCCCAAAACAGUGCACAGACGGCUGACGGCUCACACUACCAUUGCCCUCUUGAACAUUUACCGUAACCCUCAAAACUCUUCCCAGUCUGCUGACGGUUUGCGCUGUGCCGUGAGCGAUGUGGAGAUGCAGGAACACUAUGAUGAGU
rnacentral:lncRNA from 1 species